GACGUAGGGCGCGAGCGUUGUCCGGAUUUAUUGGGCGUAAAGAGCUCGUAGGCGGCUUGUCGCGUCGAAUGUGAAAACUCGGGGCUCAACCCCGCGCUUGCAUUCGAUACGGGCAGGCUCGAGUUCGGUAGGGGAGACUGGAAUUCCUGGUGUAGCGGUGAAAUGCGCAGAUAUCAAGGAGGAACACCUAUGGCGAAAGCAG
rnacentral:rRNA from 1 species